GCCUGAUGCAGCAACGCCGCGUGAGGGACGACGGCCUUCGGGUUGUAAACCUCUUUUAGCAGGGAAGAAGCGAAAGUGACGGUACCUGCAGAAAAAGCACCGGCUAACUACGUGCCAGCAGCCGCGGUAAUACGUAGGGUGCAAGCGUUAUCCGGAAUUAUUGGGCGUAAAGAGCUCGUAGGCGGUUUGUCGCGUCUGCUGUGAAAACUGGGGGCUCAACCCCCAGCCUGCAGUGGGUACGGGCAGACUAGAGUGCGGUAGGGGAGAUUGGAAUUCCUGGUGUAGCGGUGGAAUGCGCAGAUAUCAGGAGGAACACCGAUGGCGAAGGCAGAUCUCUGGGCCGUAACUGACGCUGAGGAGCGAAAGGGUGGGGAGCAAACAGGCUUAGAUACCCUGGUAGUCCACCCCGUAAACGUUGGGAACUAGUUGUGGGGUCCAUUCCACGGAUUCCGUGACGCAGCUAACGCAUUAAGUUCCCCGCCUGGGGAGUACGGCCGCAAGGCUAAAACUCAAAGGAAUUGACGGGGACCCGCACAAGCGGCGGAGCAUGCGGAUUAAUUCGAUGCAACGCGAAGAACCUUACCAAGGCUUGACAUAUACGAGAACGGGCUAGAAAUAGUCAACUCUUUGGACACUCG
rnacentral:rRNA from 1 species